UGAAUGUCAAAGCAUGAUGUUUGUAGUUGCAAUAACAUGUUGCCACGUGCCGCACUAUCCAAUACCAGCAAAGUGGACUAAUUGCCCUUGUUUACUUGUAUAAAUACAACAAGACAUGAGAUGGUCUGUCAUACAAUAUCACUUGCAUUUCUUCUGUUCUCAAAGAUCAACCAAGAUGGCGAUUCGAGCUCAGUUGUUAUUUCUGUGCCUCUUCUUAGUGUUUGCCUCAUCAUGUUAUGCCCGCAACACCAUGUUUCUCUCAGGGGAGGAAGUGAAAGUAGGAAGGUCUCUGAAGAUGAUUGGUGUUGAUGACUACAGUGACGCCACAGCUAACCACGGUCACGAUCCCAGAAACAAACCUGGAGGCGGCAAUGGCAAUGGCCACAGGACCCAUGACAUCCCGUAGCCUAAUCAUUUGUUUCUCUAGCUACAUCUAUCUAUCUAGCUACAUAUAUGACUCCUCGUAGAAUUCAUUUGUCGAAUAAAUGUUUCCUUGAACUAAAAGAGACUAUUAUUGUACUUUAAGUACUUGUGUAACCAAUAAAAAUCGUAGUUACUGCAAUGUGCGGUAAUGAUUAAAUGUUCACAACCCAGAGUUUAUAUUGCAACUUUACUCAACACGUCUUCGUUGAGCGAUGAUGGUGGAAUGUGGAUGCAUGCAUGCAGCUGCUGCCGAUCUCUGCACGUUUUGGAACUUCACUAAUUUUUGCUUGACUUUAGUUAUUAAAUUGAACAAGGCUGAGAUUUGUAUCAAGUCAAUGUAAUGUAAUCUAUAAGUUUUGGUUGUAGUUGUCAACGGAUAACCCAAGAAAACUCAAAUUCAAGUUUAUUUAUUAAUCUUUUUGUACAUUACUCAA